GAUGAACGCUGGCGGCGUGCCUAAUACAUGCAAGUCGAGCGAACGGACGAUAAGCUUGCUUCUCUGAUGUUAGCGGCGGACGGGUGAGUAACACGUGGAUAACCUACCUAUAAUACUGGGAUAACUUCGGGAAACCGGAGCUAAUACCGUAUGAUAUUUUGAACCGCAUGGUUCAAAAGUGAAAGACGGUCUUGCUGUCACUUAUAGAUGGAUCCGCGCUGCAUUAGCUAGUUGGUAAGGUAACGGCUUACCAAGGCAACGAUGCAUAGCCGACCUGAGAGGGGGAUCGGCCACACUGGAGCGGAGACACGGUCCAGAGGCCUACGGGAGGGCGCAGUAGGGAAUCGUCCGCAAUGGGCGAAAGCCUGACGGAGCAACGGCGCGUGAGUGAUGAAGGUCUUCGGAUCGUGAAACUCUGUUAUUAGGGAAGAACAUAUGUGUAAGUAACUGUGCACAUCUUGACGGUACCUAAUCAGAAAGCCACGGCUAACUACGUG
rnacentral:rRNA from 1 species